AUGUAUUACAUUCAAACACAUCGAUGGAUAUCACCAUAUUCUAUAUGGUGCACAUGUCUGGUUAUAGUUGACUAAAAUAGUACUAAACAGAUUUGGAUUUAAUUUUUUGUUAGCAUGGCGAGCGGUGUUGAUAAUGAAUUAUUAGUGAAAAAUGAUGAGCUUUUGACUUUAGAUGCUCUUUUAGCAGAAGUUGAUACGGAAUUAAAGAGUGUUGCACCCCAGUUUAGUGGAAAUAGCUUAAGAAAAAUUGAUGUCGACAAUGUGGAGAAUUUCUUGCUCUUAAAAUUCAAUGAGUAUAGUGGCCAUGUAAAUGAACCGUUUUCCACAGCUAAUGAUGGUUUUGGCAAGGAUAUAGAUACGAAAAAAGAGUUAAAAAGUAUAACUAAAAAUUUAAAUGGCAAAGAAACUCUGAAAGAUAAAAAAAUAACUAACAGAUGCAAAUAUAUGGAGGCCUCAUUGAAAUCCAAUGAACAUACAUAUGUAUAUUUUGACCCCAUUUUUGGUUUAAGAAUACUGGGUCCAAAAAUAUCAAGUGCAUUGUUAUUAGAACGAAUGGCGGGUCGAAAAUUAGUUACAUUCAACGAAUUAUCAAGACAAAUGGACCUAAAAACGGCAUCUGACUGGGUUAUCGCUGCGGUGUUAAUAUCUAAGGAAGUUAAAUGUAGUUCAAAAAAUUUAAGCCGUUUUACAAUUUGGAGGUUAUCGGAUCUUCAAGGAAAUAUGAAAACUAUUUCAGUAUUACUGUUUCAAAAUGCUCACAAUGAAUUGUGGAAGACAUCUCCAGGUACCUGUGUGGCUAUUCUUAACCCAACUUUUAUCGAAAAAAAAUCCUACACGCAAGACAUUGCUAAUCUUUCAAUUGAAACUGCAAAUAAUGUGUUAAUUUUGGGUAAAUCUAAGGAUUUUGGUAUAUGCAAAGCAAAAAAAAUGAAUGGACAACAAUGUACCAAUUUUAUUAAUUUGCAAGACAGUGAUGUUUGUGUUUUUCAUAUUAAAAAGGAGUUUACAAAAGCUCUUGGACCUUUUGCUGCAAAAAAAACUAAGUUUGAUCAAAAAAUUCAGACUGCUUGUAGUAUCACAUCUGGGCAGAUUAGUAACAAAAAACUAUUAUAUAAAGAUAGACUAAUAUUGGAUUCAUUAAGCAACACUAAAAUAACAGAAAAUAAAAUGACGAAUGAAUGUACUCUAAAAUCUAAUGUUUCAUCUGUAACUCAAAAAUAUAAAAAUUAUGGAAUUGCUACCGAAGUAGUAGCAGAUGAAAAGCAGCGAAAAACAGACUUGGAACGCGUUAAAUCACUCUAUAUGACACCGAAUUUCUCUAAUAUUUUUUCACAAAAUCAAAGCAGAAUAGAAUUUAAAGUUACAGACACACAUCAAAAAGCCAAGGAUAAAGCUUUUGAAGUAUUAAAAAGGUGUCCCAUUGAAAAAGUUAAUCCUAAUUCAAUUCGUGGAACAGUUGGAGGAAAGAAACGUGUAUUAGACGUACUUAAUGGAUCGGAAAAUUCUAAACGCCGGAAGAUUGAAGAAAACCAUGAUAUGCAUAUAUCAGAUAUAUUUGAAACUGGAUCAAACCAUAGAGAAUUGGUAAACGUACGACAAAAGCAAGAAGAAGACAAAUAUUUUAUUAGGUUAGAAAAGAAAGAAGCAAUGGAAGAAAAGGGAAGAAUUUAGUAUACCGUCCCAGGAUUUCAAGGAUAAAAAGGAUAUGGUCGGAUAGAGGAGAUUAUCCUGAUCAAGGAUAUAUAUAGUUAUAGCCGCAGGAAGCUUAUAGUUUUCGAGAUAUUCGCGUUUAAAGUUGAAAAUUUGCAAUAUUUUAAUUACAUAUUUUCGAUAUAUAAAAUUAAUUUUUCACUUUUAUAUCCACUAACACUUCACUAAUUCAUUUGUACACAUUUAUUUUAUAUGAUUUAGUGCAAAAAUAGCUUUUAAUAUACAUUUAAACUAUUGUUGUAUUGUGAUUAUUUAAGAAUAACAAAUGAAUUACAAACUGUCAAAUAAUCAAUGUUACCUUAUCGACAUCAUUUGUAAUAAUGUGAACAGAUUAUACCCCAAAUACGAGAAUUAACAACCUAUAAAAAAAUAACCCUGGUCGGUCCAACACCGGGGUCUAUCAAAUUUUUUUCGCGUAGAACUCCUAUUUGCGUGGGCGGCCGCGCUUCAAAAAAAAUAACCCUGGUCGGUCCAACACCGGGGUGUAUCAAUUUUUUUCGCGUAGAACUCCAUUUUGCGUGGGCGGCCGCGCUUCAAAAAAAAUAACCCUGGUCGGUCCAACAUCGGGGUGUAUCAAAUUUUUUUUGCGUAGAACUCCUUUUUGCGUGGGCGGCCUUCGGCCGCACUUCAAAAAAAAAUAACCCUGGUCGGUCCAACACCGGGGUGUAUCAAAUUUUUUUCGCGUAGAACUCCUUUUUGCGUGGGCGGCCUUCGGCCGCGCUUCAAAACAAGAUAACCCUGGUCGGUCCAACACCGGGGUGUAUCAAUUUUUUUCGCAUAGAACUCCUUUUUGCGUGGGCGGCCUUCGGCCGCACUUCAAAAAAAAAUAACCCUGGUCGGUCCAACACCGGGGUGUAUCAAAUUUUUUUCGCGUAGAACUCCUUUUUGCGUGGGCGGCCUUCGGCCGCACUUCAGAAAAAAUAACCCUGGUCGGUCCAACACCGGGGUGUAUCAAUUUUUUUCGCGUAGAACUCCUUUUUGCGUGGGCGGCCUUCGGCCGCGCUUCAAAAAAAAUAACCCUGGUCGGUCCAACAUCGGGGUGUAUCAAAUUUUUUUUGCGUAGAACUCCUUUUUGCGUGGGCGGCCUUCGGCCGCGCUUCAAAAAAAUAACCCUGGUCGGUCCAACACCGGGGUGUAUCAAAUUUUUUUCGCGUAGAACUCCUUUUUGCGUGGGCGGCCUUCGGCCGCACUUCAAAAAAAAAUAACCCUGGUCGGUCCAACAUCGGGGUGUAUCAAAUUUUUUUCGCGUAGAACUCCUUUUUGCGUGGACGGCCUUCGGCCGCACUUCAAAAAAAAAAAAGGUCCAACACAGGGGUGUAUUAAAUUUUUUUCGCGUAGAACUUCUUUUUGCGAAAAAGAUCUGAUACACCUCGGCGUUUGACCGAUCAGGGUUAUUUUUUUGAUAGGUUGUUGAUUCUCAUAUUUGGGGUAUAAUCUGUUCAGUUUAUUUCAUUUAGUUAUUUUAAAAGUGAUGUCGGUAAGGUAACACUGAUUAUUUGUCAGUUUGUAAUUCAUUUGUUAUUCUUAAAUAAUUAUAAUUCAACAAUAAUUUAAAUGUAUAUUAAAAGCUAUUUUUGCACUAUAUUAUAUAAAAUAAAUGUGUACAAAUGAAUUAGUGAAGUGUUAGGGGAUAUAAAAGUGAAAAAUAUAAGUGCAAAAUUAAUUUUAUAUAUCGAAAAUAUGUAAUUAAAAUAUUGCAAAUUUUCAACUUUAAACGCGAGUAUCUCGAAAACUAUAAGCUUCCUGCGGCUAUAACCAUAUACAUAUAUUCGUGAUCUGAAGAGUCUCCUCUAUCCGACCAUAUUCAUUUUAUUCCCGAAAUCCUGGGACGGUAUACUAAAGCCGACCCGAGGAAAAAAUGCUAAAAACAUUUGCAAUAUCUUGCAAAGCUGUCAUAUGCAAGGAUUGUAAAUAUACUGCGUUUUCUGCCGCUGACCGUUGUAAAAAUGAGGAGCACUCUUUUAAAAUAAUAGACGCCGUAAAACGAUUUUUUCAAUGCAAAGGCUGUGGAAAUCGUACAAUUACGCUUUUUAAGCUUCCUAAAUUUAGUUGUUCUAACUGCAAAGGCUUCAGGUGGAAACGUAGUGCAAUGGUACGCGAUCGAAAGCUGAACGAUUUACCAAUACCAUUUUCUAUAAGAGGAGACGAAGAGAAAUUUUUAGGGACUACAAAUUCAAAACUGAAUGUUAAUCUCCUUAUGCCGUAAUAUUAACAAUAAGCAGUUAUUUGCUUAAUGAAGUAUUAAUAAAGCACUUUUGUCAAUUAUUAAUAAAUACAUUAGGGGGAUUCUCUAGCACUUGCAAAACUCUUGCACCCUGUGCCAGCUGUCAUUUUAUAUAAAGACAUAUUUCGCCGUUAAAUUGUUGAGGAAGUUAAGUUUUGAAUAGAUUUUAUAAUUUCUAUCUAAAUUUUAAAAAUGUAUAUAAGUUUUUUUUGUUUUAAGAAUGAAUUGCAGAUGGUGCGCCAAUUAGUAAUGGUAAUUUCAAAUAAAUUGCUCUUCAUAGACUUGCAUAUUUCGGUAUAGGAUUUUUGCAUUUUGUGUCAUCGUGCAAUCUUCCAAAAGCAAGAGAAUCCCCCUAUUAUGUCAAGAAAGACUUUACAAAGUUGCAAAAUAUGUAUGUAUAUUGUUUUACUUUGCAAAAAAUGGCAAAGUUCAAUGCAUAAACAAAUAAAGAAGAAAAAAAAGAAAUAUUAAAUUUUGUUACAAAUGAUGAUACGGGCUAAUAUACAUAUGUAUUAUAUAUAUGAAGUCUUAAUUGGGCUUUAAAAUAGACUUAAUAUUUCGUAUGAUAAACUUUAGCAUUUAGGCAUGAUCAGGUUUUAAGAUGGCUCCAUCCAUUGUAUGUAUUGCACCUAACCAAGGUGGAUUUGGAUGGAGCCUUCUAGCGCAAAUGGUCGGAGAGAUAUUCCUGUUUACAUAAAAAAAUACACACCCUCCGAGUGGAAGCUGAUAAUUGUGGGAAUCAGAAUUAAAAACGACAAAAAAGGGGUUGGUGGGGUAUGCAAAGAGGUGGCCAGUAUCAUGUGGAGACUCAUUGCACGCAGGACAUAUGUUUCCCGUGGCGGUUCCGCUCCAAACAGGUGGCUGCAGGGGUGAUUUCUACGAAAACAUCUCCAGGCAAUGUGUUCAUUAUGCUCCUUAACUAGGAGCAUAAGCGUCUCACUUUGUAGGUGUUCAAUCGGAAACAUCAGGACAUCAUCCUAUCGUAGUUCGGAGUAUUCUGACAAGUCUCAAGCUUCUUAAUCUGCGUUCCACUGCAUCCAGGCUACCAUAUUGGUAUGGCGUAUUUGAGGACCGGCCGGUCGAUUGCCUUGUAAAUUGCCAACAACGUUUCUUUGUCCUUUUCCCAUUUGCUGCCGGCUAGCGACUUGAGGAUUUAGUUGCGCCUCUGUACAUUGGCGAUAAUCGCGGUCGUAACUUUAACAAAAGAAAGAAUUUUGACGAAAUAUUUAUAACACGGCGUAUGUAUCUAGUCCCCUUCCUAAUGAACUACUCAUUUUCAAAAUCGGAGAUUUUUCGAAACUUCAAGUAACCACUUGACGUGGUUUGACCCAUAUUAUAAAAGUAAUUUUAACACUAUAUAAUAUAAAAUAAAUCGAUAGAAACGAAUUAGUGAAGUAUGAGUGGAUAUAGCAGUUAAAGAUAUAUGUAAGUGUAAAAUCCAUUAUGAGUCGGAGAAACACGCGUUUUAAAUAGUUAAAUUUUUGAACUUUAUAUUAUAUUAUAUCAUCUUAUCGUAGUUCGGAGUGUUCUGACAAGUCUCAAGCUUCUUAAUCUGCGUUCCACUGCAUCCAGGCUACCAUAUUGGUAUGGCGUAUUUGAGGACCGGCCGGUCGAUUGCCUUGUAAAUUGCCAACAACGUUUCUUUGUCCUUUUCCCAUUUGCUGCCGGCUAGCGACUUGAGGAUUUAGUUGCGCCUCUGUACAUUGGCGAUAAUCGCGGUCGUAACUUUAACAAAAGAAAAAAUUUUGACGAAAUAUUUAUAUCACGGCGUAUGUGUCUAGUCCCCUUCCUAAUGAACUACUCAUUUUCAAAAUCGGAGAUUUUUCGAAAUAUUCAGUGACCACUUGGCGUGGUUUGACCCAUAUUAUUAAAGUAAUUUUAACACUAUAUAAUAUAAAAUAAAUCGAUAGAAACGAAUUAGUGAAGUAUGAGUGGAUAUAGCAGUUAAA